rnacentral:misc_RNA from 1 species
UGCCAAGAUGUUUGAAGAGGUUUGGAGGGUCCUCAAGGAUAAAGGAGUAUAUAUCCUGGUUACUUAUGGAGCUCCAGUGUAUCGCUUAUGCAUGUUGAGAGAAUCUUGCUUGUGGGGGAUAAAACUCCAUGUGAUAGAAAAGGUUUUGUCUGGAGGAGUCUCUGAGCAUCCAAUAUGGGAGUUGACAAAUCCUGUUAUGCUUGAUGACAAUGGUAACUCAGUAGAAGCGACACUUGGAAAGAACCCUGAUGUUCACUACAUUUAUGUUUGCACAAAGGAUGAAUCUUUGAAGCCAAGCCAAAAGCACGAUGAGGCAGUUGAAUGGGAAGUGUUACGAUGUCCAACUCAAUAAAGUGUGUGCUGGUGCAUGAUGUUUCUGGCAUUGUGGGCUUUGGAUCCCUUGCAUUGCAAGAGCCAAGGAGGUUUUUCAUGGUUUGAACCUUUGACAUCCAGGUCACGGUGAAGUAACCUUACCUUGUACCAAGGCUCAUCCUCAGCCAACAUUUUGCAAUGCAACUCUGUUUCUUUUAUGUGAAUAAUUGGACAUCCUAUGCUGACAUAAUAAUUGUUGGUUCAGUGGAUGUUAUCUGUAUUAUGAUUAGCCAUGACUUCAUUUUAGCCCUCAACUGAUACCUUGAUGGGACUGUAUGCCAAAGCAAAAUGUAAUAUUUUACUAUUCUCCAUUUUCCACUAGAUUGGCUUGUAUGUAUGAUUGUGUGACUAUUUAGAUUAUUUACAUAAAAG